rnacentral:rRNA from 1 species
UACGGGGGGGGCAAGUGUUCUUCGGAAUUACUGGGCGUAAAGGGCUCGUAGGUGGCCAACUAAGUCAGACGUGAAAUCCCUCGGCUUAACCGGGGAACUGCGUCUGAUACUGGAUGGCUGGAGUUUGGGAGAGGGAUGCGGAAUUCCAGGUGUAGCGGUGAAAUGCGUAGAUAUCUGGAGGAACACCGGUGGCGAAGGCGGCAUCCUGGACCACGACUGACGCUGAGUGAGCGAAAGCCAGGGGAGCAAACGGG